GUCACUGGUGGUUGGCACUCCCGGGCAACUGGGACAGGGUUCAAGUCCCUGUGGUGUU
rnacentral:sRNA from 1 species